rnacentral:rRNA from 1 species
GAAUGGGGAAACCCAGCAUGAGUUAUGUCAUGUUAUCGAUAUGUGAAUACAUAGCAUAUCAGAAGGCACACCCGGAGAACUGAAACAUCUUAGUACCCGGAGGAAGAGAAAGAAAAUUCGAUUCCCUUAGUAGCGGCGAGCGAAACGGGAAGAGCCCAAACCAACAAGCUUGCUUGUUGGGGUUGUAGGACACUCUAUACGGAGUUACAAAGGACGACAUUAGACGAAUCAUCUGGAAAGAUGAAUCAAAGAAGGUAAUAAUCCUGUAGUCGAAAAUGUUGUCUCUCUUGAGUGGAUCCUGAGUACGACGGAGCACGUGAAAUUCCGUCGGAAUCUGGGAGGACCAUCUCCUAAGGCUAAAUACUCUCUAGUGACCGAUAGUGAACCAGUACCGUGAGGGAAAGGUGAAAAGCACCCCGGAAGGGGAGUGAAAUAGAACCUGAAACCGUGUGCUUACAAGUAGUCAGAGCCCGUUAAUGGGUGAUGGCGUGCCUUUUGUAGAAUGAACCGGCGAGUUACGAUUUGAUGCAAGGUUAAGCAGUAAAUGUGGAGCCGUAGCGAAAGCGAGUCUGAAUAGGGCGUUUAGUAUUUGGUCGUAGACCCGAAACCAGGUGAUCUACCCUUGGUCAGGUUGAAGUUCAGGUAACACUGAAUGGAGGACCGAACCGACUUACGUUGAAAAGUGAGCGGAUGAACUGAGGGUAGCGGAGAAAUUCCAAUCGAACCUGGAGAUAGCUGGUUCUCUCCGAAAUAGCUUUAGGGCUAGCCUCAAGUGAUGAUUAUUGGAGGUAGAGCACUGUUUGGACGAGGGGCCCCUCUCGGGUUACCGAAUUCAGACAAACUCCGAAUGCCAAUUAAUUUAACUUGGGAGUCAGAACAUGGGUGAUAAGGUCCGUGUUCGAAAGGGAAACAGCCCAGACCACCAGCUAAGGUCCCAAAAUAUAUGUUAAGUGGAAAAGGAUGUGGCGUUGCCCAGACAACUAGGAUGUUGGCUUAGAAGCAGCCAUCAUUUAAAGAGUGCGUAAUAGCUCACUAGUCGAGUGACACUGCGCCGAAAAUGUACCGGGGCUAAACAUAUUACCGAAGCUGUGGAUUGUCCUUUGGACAAUGGUAGGAGAGCGUUCUAAGGGCGUUGAAGCAUGAUCGUAAGGACAUGUGGAGCGCUUAGAAGUGAGAAUGCCGGUGUGAGUAGCGAAAGACGGGUGAGAAUCCCGUCCACCGAUUGACUAAGGUUUCCAGAGGAAGGCUCGUCCGCUCUGGGUUAGUCGGGUCCUAAGCUGAGGCCGACAGGCGUAGGCGAUGGAUAACAGGUUGAUAUUCCUGUACCACCUAUAAUCGUUUUAAUCGAUGGGGGGACGCAGUAGGAUAGGCGAAGCGUGCGAUUGGAUUGCACGUCUAAGCAGUAAGGCUGAGUAUUAGGCAAAUCCGGUACUCAUUAAGGCUGAGCUGUGAUGGGGAGAAGACAUUGUGUCUUCGAGUCGUUGAUUUCACACUGCCGAGAAAAGCCUCUAGAUAGAAAAUAGGUGCCCGUACCGCAAACCGACACAGGUAGUCAAGAUGAGAAUUCUAAGGUGAGCGAGCGAACUCUCGUUAAGGAACUCGGCAAAAUGACCCCGUAACUUCGGGAGAAGGGGUGCUCUUUAGGGUUAACGCCCAGAAGAGCCGCAGUGAAUAGGCCCAAGCGACUGUUUAUCAAAAACACAGGUCUCUGCUAAACCGUAAGGUGAUGUAUAGGGGCUGACGCCUGCCCGGUGCUGGAAGGUUAAGAGGAGUGGUUAGCUUCUGCGAAGCUACGAAUCGAAGCCCCAGUAAACGGCGGCCGUAACUAUAACGGUCCUAAGGUAGCGAAAUUCCUUGUCGGGUAAGUUCCGACCCGCACGAAAGGCGUAACGAUUUGGGCACUGUCUCAACGAGAGACUCGGUGAAAUCAUAGUACCUGUGAAGAUGCAGGUUACCCGCGACAGGACGGAAAGACCCCGUGGAGCUUUACUGUAGCCUGAUAUUGAAAUUCGGCACAGCUUGUACAGGAUAGGUAGGAGCCUUUGAAACGUGAGCGCUAGCUUACGUGGAGGCGCUGGUGGGAUACUACCCUAGCUGUGUUGGCUUUCUAACCCGCACCACUUAUCGUGGUGGGAGACAGUGUCAGGCGGGCAGUUUGACUGGGGCGGUCGCCUCCUAAAAGGUAACGGAGGCGCUCAAAGGUUCCCUCAGAAUGGUUGGAAAUCAUUCAUAGAGUGUAAAGGCAUAAGGGAGCUUGACUGCGAGACCUACAAGUCGAGCAGGGUCGAAAGACGGACUUAGUGAUCCGGUGGUUCCGCAUGGAAGGGCCAUCGCUCAACGGAUAAAAGCUACCCCGGGGAUAACAGGCUUAUCUCCCCCAAGAGUUCACAUCGACGGGGAGGUUUGGCACCUCGAUGUCGGCUCAUCGCAUCCUGGGGCUGUAGUCGGUCCCAAGGGUUGGGCUGUUCGCCCAUUAAAGCGGUACGCGAGCUGGGUUCAGAACGUCGUGAGACAGUUCGGUCCCUAUCCGUCGUGGGCGUAGGAAAUUUGAGAGGAGCUGUCCUUAGUACGAGAGGACCGGGAUGGACAUACCUCUGGUGUACCAGUUGUCGUGCCAACGGCAUAGCUGGGUAGCUAUGUGUGGACGGGAUAAGUGCUGAAAGCAUCUAAGCAUGAAGCCCCCCUCAAGAUGAGAUUUCCCAACUUCGGUUAUAAGAUCCCUCAAAGAUGAUGAGGUUAAUAGGUUCGAGGUGGAAGCAUGGUGACAUGUGGAGCUGACGAAUACUAAUCGAUCGAAGACUUAAUCAA